AUUGAACGCUGGCGGCAUGCUUUACACAUGCAAGUCGAACGGUAACAGGCCGCAAGGUGCUGACGAGUGGCGAACGGGUGAGUAAUGCAUCGGAACGUGCCCAGUCGUGUGGGAUAACGCAGCGAAAGCUGUGCUAAUACCGCAUACGAUCUAUGGAUGAAAGCGGGGGACCGUAAGGCCUCGCGCGAUUGGAGCGGCCGAUGUCAGAUUAGGUAGUUAGUGGGGUAAAGGCUCACCAAGCCAACGAUCUGUAGCUGGUCUGAGAGGACGACCAGCCACACUGGGACUGAGACACGGCCCAGACUCCUACGGGAGGCAGCAGUGGGGAAUUUUGGACAAUGGGCGCAAGCCUGAUCCAGCAAUGCCGCGUGCAGGAAGAAGGCCUUCGGGUUGUAAACUGCUUUUGUACGGAACGAAAAGGUUUGGGUUAAUACCCUGGGCCGAUGACGGUACCGUAAGAAUAAGCACCGGCUAACUACGUGCCAGCAGCCGCGGUAA
rnacentral:rRNA from 1 species